AGACCACAACUGUUUAGACGGUCCCAAAGCCUCCGUUUCCAAGGGGGAAAGGGUGCACCUCCCCAGUCGUCGCGGGCUCUGGGGGUAGUUGCUAGAAGGCCCUCCCCCAGGAGCUCCUCCAUGAAUCUUGCAGCACAAGGCAUCUAAUCCAUGCACCCCAACAUACGGCAUGACGGAGCCUCUUCUAGAAUCUUCUAAGAGGAAACACAAACAUCUGGGGUAGUUAGGGGCCUGCGGCGGCUGCGAGCGUCUGCAAGCCAGGCCCCGUUACCCGUGGUCUAAUAUCCCUGCUCUGCACCUUAACGGAGGGUUUGACUUUUAUCUCAUUUUGGCUCCUUCACCCAACUACUACGUGGAUUCAAGCCCCGGCACCAGGGAGCGGCGAGGGAGGGCACCUCUGCGGAACUGCACAAAGGGUGCGUUUUUAGACGCUAUCGAGGUUUGCAGCUGUGUGAGGAAUGCUAGGCCGAUGGGGAAGUGUGUGUUCAAGAAAAAGUGGGGACCUUUCCGCUCAGACUGUCGGUGAUGGACGCCCUGCGUCCACGCCAACGUCGAAGGGGAUCCGUGGAGUGGCUGGGAAUUCUAACCCAACUCCCCCCGCCCCCCUCUAGUGGCCUCCUCGGGCACUAGGAGCCUGGCCCCAUUGGGGCUGUGGCUGACGACGCUCCUCUGCGGCCUGGGCCCUGGGGUCACGCUGCUCUCCUGCUCUGUCCCCAGCCACCUGGGAAGGGCUCGAGGGGACCUCCGGGGCCAUGAGCCCGUCCAGGGGUGGGUGCCACAGGCAGGCUGGUGGGGGCGGGUGCCCCCGUGUCUGGGGGAUGGGAGCCGGCCAGACCUCAGGGUGGCGGCCUGAGGACCUGCGGGAUCAGGUGGACGCAAGGGGCCUCCCCCACCAGCUGGACUCAGUGUCUGUGCCCCAGGCGCCGGCGGGGACCUGGGCUGAUCCUGCACUCCCGAGGCCACAGGAGGGUUGUGAGCUGGGGCCACAGAGGCUGCAAGACGGGAGGCCACCCCCUCGCCCCCCGACGGCAGCCACGUCCUGCCCCCUGGAGCCCCAACGCCCCCGGCUUCUCGGUGGCCACAUCCACCCCUGGGCCCCCGGUGCCACCCUGCCCUCCUCCCACAGCUCACCCCGCCCCCCCCCCCAGGCCGAGCUCUGAGCACUGGCCCCGCCUCCAGAAUGUGAGUGGGAUUCCCCUGGGCAGGGCCUGCCUCCCGGGCUGCAGCCUGAGGACUCUAAUGUCCCUGUGGCGGGAGAACAGCGCAGCACCCUCCUUGCCUCCAGGGCACGCGGGCUCCCAGGCCCGAGGCAGCUGUCCUGCCGCUGCUCCACCUCCCAGGCACCGGCUGGGGCCACCCCGUCCCCCGCGUGGCUCUGAGCAAACCGCUCACUGUCAGGCUCCCUCGCAGGAAUACCUGUGGGGGGGGGUCCCGCAGAGCACUUCCUCCCGGCCUGUGUGCCACGCCCCGUCUGGGCCUCCCGAGGGGGUGCUCUGCUCUUCCCUGGGGGUUCGGGCCACCAGCUGGAUAACAGGCUCGCUCUCUUCUUGGAGAAGAGCUUCCGAGGCAAUGACCGCCUGGCGUCUGCACGGAGGCUCCGGUGCACAUGCUGCCUUCGUGUGCAGGGGCCGUGAAGCCGCGCCCUGCCCUGAAGGGUGGAUUACGGUUUCGUCCUCACCUUAGGGAUGAGGCCCCCCGAAAUUCAAGACGCUGGCUCCUGGCUCACGCGGCUCCUAAGCCCAGAACCAGCCUGUAGGCCUCUCCCCGCAGCAGCCACGCUCCACCGCCCAGGGAAGGGUGCAGCCUCCGUUCAUCGGACUCACACUCGGGGCGAGGGUGACCCUGACACCGACGACCUGGAGUCCUGGGCUUGCUGAGUGCCCGGCGUCUGUGCAACGCCCCUUCUGCUGCGGAAAGUGUCUGUUCGUCUAGUGCCCUGAACAGCAGACGUCCCCUGUCCUUUCCACGAGCUGAGCAACAUGUUCUGGGUGUCGCGGGGAGGCAGGGCUGAGGUCAGUGUUUGGAGACCCCGGGCCACUAGCGCUGUCCCUGCCCCAGAGGCGCAAAGGUCUGCACGGACCCCAUAAAAACUCCACGACCUUGUCACUCCGCUUCGGCCGUCAACACCUCCCUGUCCUCGUCGUCCCUCUGUCUGUGGCAGGGGUGCAGGCAGCAGCCCUACCUCACGGGGUGGCUGGAGCGCCACCAGGAGUGUGGGCACAGGGCUGUGCCCCGUGCACACGGCUAUUUAAUGAUCGCGGGUCCCGAGGUUCCCUGGCAGACGAGGAUUCACGCACGGCAACCCGAUCCGGCAGCGGCAUCUUUCUAACACGGCCGGAGACUGGGUCCGUGAGCCGUCCAGGAACACACAUUUCACCCCGUGCACACUUAGCUUCAGCCAGAGCCUACAGGCUGAGGGCAGACGUGUUUGGUUGGGCCCUGCACAGGGUUAAUGCAAGCGCGUGCACGUGCAUGUGUGCACACGUGCAUAUAUGUGUGUCCGUGCACGUGCAUGUGUGUACAUGUACGUGUGUGUAUGUGCAGGUGUGCACACAUACACGUGUGUGCGCAUGUGCAUGUGUGUACACGUGUGGGCAUGUGUCCAUGUGCGUGCAUGUAUAGGUGUGCGUGGUGCGCGUCUGCAUGUGUGCACAUGCGUGUGCACGUGCGUGUGUGCAUGUGUACACGUGUGUCCAUGUGUCUCUGUGCGUGCAUAUGCAUGUGUGCAUGCAGGUGUGCACACGUGUGUGUGUUUUAACUUGAAAGAUAUAUCACUUUAAGAUGAAGAAAGAUUUCUGGAAAAAUGAGAAAAUCUUGCAGAACCGGGCUGGAUCCGCGUGGCUGCUGCUGUUUUGACAUUUGCCGGCACACCUGCGCGUCCCUCCAGCGUAACCUGUCCCACGGCCUAGGUCGGGACCGGAGCUCACUCCUGCCCUUGCCACCACCGAGCGCCGGGGCCCCGGGGAGGGACUCAUGACCUACUUAAGCCUCAGAUUUCUCAUGGGGAAAACGGGGAUAAUAGUACUUCUCUAUUUCAAAGGGCUGUUGAGAGCAUCAGAUAAAACGAGCGUGCGAGAGCAAUAAAUGCAAAGACUGCUUGUGCUGAGCGUGAGCACCUACGUCCUCUGGUCACGUCCCCUGGAUGGGCUCUCAGCACCCCGCAGCCCAGCACCCAGCACCUUGCACCCAGCACCGGGCUACCCCGCCCUCCCCUGCUGUGCCCCGAGCCCAGCGCUGCGCAGACAACACCGCCCCCCCCCCCGUCAUCAGCUCCAGCGUGCCUCCCCCACGGUGACACAUCGAGGUUCUAACCCCCAGCAACCCAGCUGCCUUUGGAGACAGGGAUUUUAGGGGUACGAUUCUGUGGGAUGAGCUCAGUAGGCUGGGCGCCGAUCCCAUCCGAACCGGAUCCUCACGAGAAGACUGUGGGCACGGGCCCUGUCGCUGCCUGACUGCAGACGGCUCACCUCCCGGACAAAUCUGGCCUUGCAGCCUCUCGGGUCUGUGGGGCUUUGUGACGGCAGCUCAGGCCAACUGAGGCACCGAGGCUCUCCCCCAACUAGGGGUCCCCAGGGGUGCACGCGUCGGGAUCUGGGCAGCGCAAGGAACAGCCAGGACUUCGGGCCUAGCUCACCGUUGGCUGUGCCCUGGGGAGGGGGGACCUGGGGGGGCUGUGCCCUCGGGAUGAAGGCAGGCUGUGCCCUGGGGACUGGGGGGCAGGGGCAUCCUGGCGUCCGUCAAGAGCUCAGGGUGCUGACAAAGUAGGUGCAGCAGCCUCGGGAUUCCCGGCGCCCUGCUGCUCCAGGCCUGGCCGUGCUCUUGCUGGAAGUCAGCCCCUGCCCCCGCAGCCCCUGCCCCUGCCCCCGCAGCCCCUGCCCCUGCCCCUGCAGCCCCCGCAGCCCCUGCAGCCCCCGCGCUGGUUGCACAAGCUCCCUGGCCCCUGUGAAGCACAUUGUGCUUGUUGUGAAGGGACGCCGACGGCUGCAGGAUGUCAGGCUGCUGCGGGGUGACCUCGCUGUUUCUGCCCAACGCCCCGGAGCCUGAGAGUUGACAACAGGGACGUGGGACCCGACGCUGCCUCCUGCCUGCGAGCACAGCCCGCGGCUGCAAGAGCAAGCAUGGCCUGUGAACGGCACGUCCUGCCCUCCGCGCGGCUUCGAGAGCAAAGGGCACAAGGAACAAGGGCCAGGCCAAGGGGGAAGCGAGGGGCGGGGCGGGGAAGGGUGGGCGCUGGGCGAGCGGCGCUGUUGCCGGGCUCUGUGGGCCCAGGGUCGGCACAGGGAGGACAGCAAACAACCGUCUCUCAAGACCUCAAAGUCCUCUCAGGGUCGUUCUCCGGGGGCUCCGCGGUGGAGCCUUGGCCUUUAGCUCCAGGCACGGCCCCGGGGUCCUGGGAUGCAGCCCCGGGGGGCCCCUGCUGCGGAGCCUGCUUCUCCCUCCCUCCCUGUCAAAUAAUAAAACCCCUGAGGAGCAACCAGGUAGCAGGUUUUACACCUGCAGACGCUCGCAGCCCCACCGGGACCGUGGAGGAGCUCAUGCCGCCUGCUGCCCACGCACACGUCGAGUCCUGAUGACGACCCUGGACGGCGAUGCUGCUGUCACGAUGAUUCCUGACGACUACCCCCAUGUACGCAGGCCUGCCUCUGACCGUCAGGAACACGCGGAGGACCGGGAGGCGGCAGGGAGCACUCCACACGGGGCCUGCUGCUCAGGCACGAGGUCGUCACGGCUCAGCCACAGCGGCCGGGUCCAGCGGCCUUGGGAGAAGGCCCGAGGGAAGGAGAACUGGUUCUAGCAUCUGGGGCACCUGUUAUAAGAAAAAGUCUGAUCCAGUCGUCUGUGGCAGGACCAGGAGUCCGUGUUAAGCCUUCCCACGUGGGGUGCCCAGGGGGCUCCGCUGGUGAAGCAUCUGCCUUCUGCUCAGGUCGUGACCCUGGGGUCCUGGGUUCGAGCCUCGUGUCGGGCUCCCUGCUCAGCGGGAGCUGCUUCUCCUUCAGCCCUCCUCGUGCUCUCUCUCAAAUAAACAAAUAAAAUCUGAAAAACAACCCAAAAAGCUUCCUCGGUGAUUCCGAGUCAGUUUGGAGAGAAACGCCAAUACGAUGCUCAGUCUUGCCUGGUGGUUCUACCCAUGUGUGCGUUUGCUCAGGAAUUAAAACACGUCCACGUGAAAGAACGGCUCUUCCCACCCAUACUCAGCCUUCAACGCUGUGAACGAGGCCGGGGAACUGCCGACUGCUCCCACGACCCGGACUUGCAGGGCCAAGCACCCGACGUCAGCGCUGACGGCCCCGCGGGCUCCCCGCUGCACAGGGUUAGGCGGUUUCCGAGCAGCCCUUCCUUCUGGGAAGUGCCUCCUCUUGGUGCCGCUGGCCCAUCCUGUCCUUGUCCCCUGAGGAGCCUUUCUACGGCUCCUGUUCCUUCCUCGGACUCGGUUUUCGGGGGCUCCGUCCCGCAGGACAGAGGCAGCGGCGUGGUUGGGGCUGCGACCGUCAGGUCCGGCGGUGCCUGGCUCGUCCCUGCUGUGACCCGCUGCCGUCACUUCUCCAGACUCAGGCGUGUGCGUCUGAGCUGGGACGGGACGACGCGGGUCCCUCGGGUGGGGCUGUUGGCACGAGGAAACCGAAGAGCCUACGUUGGGUCCUGGGCGCCUGCCUGACCCGAGGGCCUUCAUGGACAGACGAGGCUCCGGCUCCAUGACCCACAACUCCCAGCCUCAGAGGGAAGCUGCUGAAGAUCCCGCACACAGAGCGCUGCUGCUUCACCAGGACCCCGGAGGAGCCG